AGGACCUGAAAUGUCCGGACAUCAAAGAAAAAAGAGGAGAAAGAAAAUUGAUUCAUCUCCUUCCUCACAACACUGUCGAAACAACCAUGGUCCUCGAUUGAGAUAAGUGUCGAUGAGCUAGAGAGACAUCAAGAGCUUUAAAUUCAGUAUCCAACUCCAAUCCAGGACCUGAAAGUUGCCGAGCUUAAGGUGUUUUCACCUAAGACAUUCCAAGUCUCACGAAUGUCAUGAAAACAAGCUUAAUGAAGACUUCUUCUGCUCUACAACGACAGAUCUGAUUCUCCAGCUGGACUCAUGCCUCUCCAUUGCCUGCAUAUCCCUAGAAUUCCAAAAGGAACAAUGUUUCGCCAUAUUUCUCGACUCUCAGCAGAUUGAGCUUAAAAGCUGAUACCACUGCUUGAAAUUCAAUAAAGAUAGGUUUGAAGCUGUUGUUAUUUUGAAGGUGUUGUUAAUGUAUGCAUACAAAGCACAUGAACACGCUCAUGAACAAUCAUAUGUUUUGUAUCCAAUAUAUGAUGCAUAAGGCUUGAAAGUGCUUGAUUUUUUUUUAAGUUUCGUAUUUGCUUGUUCUUUAUUUGAAUGGCAUACAAUAUUUUUUUGUAUGCCAUUAUGUUUAAUUAAUUAUCCUUAUGCAUACAAUCAUAUGUUUUGUAUCCAAUAUAUGAUGCAUAAGGCUUGAAAGUGCUUGAUUUUUUUGUUUCAUAGUUGUUU